rnacentral:rRNA from 1 species
CGGCGGACGGGUGAGUAACGCGUGGGUAACCUGCCUCAUACAGGGGGAUAACAGUUAGAAAUGACUGCUAAUACCGCAUAAGCACACAGUACCGCAUGGUACAGUGUGAAAAACUCCGGUGGUAUGAGAUGGACCCGCGUCUGAUUAGCUGGUUGGCGGGGUAACGGCCCACCAAACCGACGAUGGAUAGGGGUUCUGAGAGGAAGGUCCCCCACAUUGGAACUGAGACACGGUCCAA